GUUUCAAUGAAACAGUAGCUAAUAUCAAGCAAGUCUGGGCAGUAACAACUUUUGGUAAAAUUUCUGCAGCUGUAGCAGCAGGGAAAGUGCUUUGUUGCUGCUGCACAUUACACUUGAAAUGAUUUUCAUCACUUUCAUCUGGUUGAUCAGCCUGUGCAAAGGAGUCGAUACCAUCUGGAGUUGUCUCAUUCAUGGGCUGAACUGGAGAAGCACUAUG
rnacentral:lncRNA from 1 species